UUUUUUUUAAUAUUUUGAUCGGGGAAUUUUCGGGGUUGGGGAAAUCUGAUCCCUGUUAGGGGGCGGAGAUGGGGGCGGUGGUAGACGCCCCGUCGGGGAUCGGGGUCGGGGACAGGGAAAAUUCUACAAUUGGGGAUCGGGGACGGAGAGUGAUCACCGGCCUCGCCGCACCCCGCCCCGUUGCCAUUCCUACAACCAAGGCAAUUUUGAUGAUUCCUACCAAAGUGAUCAAUCUAAACAAUUGUCUUUCCAUUAUUUAUUGUUUCCCGAAAUGUGACCCAAUUUAUUUUCAAGACUGUGUGAUCAAAUCUCAACUUCAAUUUUUUUUUUUCAAAACCCUUUUUCAAAAUAAAGUGCCUUUUAUUUAUUUAAAUUCUGAAAGUUUUCCAUCCCUCUUAUUUUUCAAAUGUUUUGAGGAGUUCGGAUUUUAUUCCAAGGAAUCAAUCAAACAAUCAUCCACCAGCCAAAUAUCUUAUAGAGGAACCAAAAUUUUAUUCAGAAUGAAAGACUUGGCCAUCACUUCCUUGUCUAACAUUUCUCCAUAAAAUUAAGGUUCCCUCAAAGUCAGUGGCACAAAGAUUUUCACUCGACGGACAGAACUUUUCAUAAUUUCCGAACUCUACUCAAAUUUAAAUUUCAAAAAAUUUCCAAGGAAUUUAACAUCUUAUUUGAAGAAAUCAAUCAAACAGUUACCUUAUAGUCAAAUGUCUUCAAAGGAAAUUCAAAAUUUCAUUUCAAAGUGAAAGACUCGGUCAUUACCUCCUCAUCAAACACUUUUCCAUGAAAUCAAAUUCCCUCUAAAGUCGAAAAACCAAAAGAUUCCAGUCUGAUCAAAAGCAUUUCAUAAUUUCUAAAAUUCUACUCAGGUUUUCUUUCAAAAUUCUUUCCUUCCAAGGAGCUUCGGAUUUUAUUCCAAGUAUCUAAUCAAACAAUUGUCUCCUUAGUCAAUUAUCGUUUGGGGGAUUUGGAGUUUUUUUCAAAAUGGAAGAUGCGGUCACCACUUCCUUAUCUACCAUUUUUCAUAAAAGUUGAAAUUCCCACUAAAGUCAAUGACUUAAAGAUUCUUAUUCAAUCAAACACCUUCCAUAACCUCCAAGACUCUACUUAAGUUGGAAACUUUCUUUUUCCUAGAAGUUUUUCUUUCAAAACAUGUUUUAUUGGGGAUUUAAAUUUUAAAAAGGCAAAAAUUCUUCUCUUUUGAUCACUAAGGUAAGAACCCAAAUUCAAACUCAAAUUCUUUAAAAUUGGGAAAUAACCCCAAUAAUCUACUACUGAUUACUCAAAUCAUUAUCAGAAUACGAAUCACAGCCUAAAUUGAACACCCAAAUCUCUGUAAUUGGAUCAUUGCCCCAAAUAACUCGGAUUGCAGCAGAAUCAAAUCACUGCCAUAUCAGACUUCCCAGAUUUUCGGAAAGAAAUCACUGUCUUUCUCAUUGUUGAUCUCAGGAAUCAAAUCAAAUCAAAUCAGUUUCAAAAUAUCACACAAGCACAUAGUUUGCAUUCGUGCCUAUCGGGGGUUAGGGUUGCCCUGUCCUAAUUUAGAAAUGAGAUCUACGAUUCGCUAAAUCAUUCAAAGAGGCAAAUAAUACAAUCCUAGAAAAAAGGGUAUCCUGCCCUAGUUUGGAAGGUGCUAAUGAUCUCUAAAUGCAAAAGGUAAGUUUGGUCAUAAAAAGCCACAUCAGUUAUUACUGUCAAUGUACCACUCCUUCCGCAAGGAAAUGAUCAAACAAUACUAGCAGCAUAAUUUGAUGCUUGCCUCGUUCACAUAACAUAACCCACGAAUAGUGUACGAGAUAUUAUGCAGCAAACCUGAGGAUAGGUGAAUGGACCCAGCCAAUUUUAUUUAACACUUGCCAUCGGAUCUCGAGGUCAUUAUAAUCACCCAUUGGGUGAUAGUUGCCCAACCAAGGCAAUUUUGAGGAAUUUUAACGAUUCCUACCAGAGUGAUCAAUACAAUUGUCUUUCCAUUAUUUAUUGUUCCCCGAAAUGUGACCCAAUUUAUUUUCAAGUGUGUGAUCAAAUCUCAACUUCAAUUUUCUUUUUUUUUUUCAAAACCCUUUUUCAAAAUAAAGUGCCAUUUUUUUAUUUAAAUUCUUAAAGUUUUCCAUUCCUCUUUUUUUCCAAAUGUUAUGAGGAGUUCGGAUUUUAUUACAAGGAAUCAAUCAAACAGUCAUCCUCUAGCCAAAUAUCUUAUAGAGGAAUCAAAAUUUUAUUCAGAAUGAGAGACUUGGUCAUCACUUCCUUGUCUAACAUUUCUCCAAAAAUUUAAGGUUCUCUCAAAGUCAGUGGCCCAAAGAUUUUCACUCGAUGGAUAGAACUUUUCAUAAUUUCCGAACUCUACUCAAAUUUUAUUUUCAAAAAAUUUCAAAGGAAUUUAACAUCUUAUUUGACGAAAUCAAUCAAACAAUUACCUUCUAGUCAAAUGUCUUCUAAGGAAAUUCAAAAUUUCAUUUCAAAGUGAAAGACUCGGUCAUUACCUCCUCAUCAAACACUUUUCCAUAAAAUCAAAUUCCCUCUAAAGUCA